UUCCUAACUGUUUUCUUGAGAAUUAUAAACCCUUGUGACAAUAUUCCAGUAUGUUAAGUGUUAAUGAUCGUUUUUUGAGACCUUAAUGUGUAAGGAACACAUGUUCUGUGGGCGUUCACAGAUGGGCUGUCAUUUAGGCUGCUUCAGCCACCUGACAGCAUGCCCAAGUAGACAACACUAAAACAAAUGCUGGGUUAGAAACAACCCAAUUAUUUAUUUAUUUUUGGUAGCCCAGCACAGGGUAAAUAAUGGACAGAACACAAGCUGGGUUAUUUUGACCCAGACAGUUGGGUUCCCAGCCAGCAAUGGGGUGGCCGGACCUGAUUGAAUCAGUCCGGUAUCGGGUGUCAGACUCGGCCCGGAAUCAAAAUGAAUGACUGCCCAGAAUCGGCCAAAGUACAUCGGGCUGUUUCCGUCUACCGAAAUUCAGCCAUUUUACCAGAAUCCCCCCAGAAGCGGCCCGAUGCAAACGUAAAUAAAUGUAUACAAAAUCAUCCGAUUUAGUCAUAUUAAAUAUUACUAUUAUACAUUGUAUACAUACAAAUUAUACCCAUCUACAAAGUGUUUUUUUACACCCCCUUUUCGUCAUAUCCAAUUGGUAGUUACAGUCUUGUCCCAUCACUGAAAUUCCUGUACAGCUUCUGGAGAAGUGUAGGUCGAGAGCCGUGCGUCCUCCAAAACACAACCCCGCCAAGCCGCACUGCUUCUUGACACAAUGCACGCCAAUUGUGCGUCGCCUCACAUGCAUGGACACUAGAUAACGGUACAUUUCCGCGUGUCGCUUAGGCCGCCUGUUGUGACUCGCUGGCAGCAUAUGGCAGCACAUAGCAUGUGCAUCAAGAAUUCAGCAUAGCAAGUUCGUAUGAAGGUCUGGUUAUUAAAUGGGUACAUAGUUCAAUAGUAAUAUCCUCUAAAACACUUUGGUGACAAACAAACUUUGCUCCCCUGUUUACAAUUGUCCACGUGGCUGGGAGGACCUAUUCAAAUAAAGAGAGCUAUGAAAGUCUGUCUACAUAUGAAGAGCAGUGGUUCUCAGUCCUGGUACUGGGGACUCAAAGGGGACUCAAAGGGGUGCACAUUUUUGUUUUUGCUUUAGCACUGCACAGCUGAUUCAAAUGAUUAACUCCUCAUCAAGCUACAAGUGGUAUUUAUGUAUUCAUUCGUGAUGCUAUCCUUGAUAUGAUCCUGUUAUUGCACAAAUGUGUGCCCAUGCAUCUAUCAAUCCAAUGUUAUCAUGAUUUGUUAUCAGGAAUAUUAUACUUUAGUAAUCCACAAUGACCUGGUGAUGUAACAGUCAAAUAAUUACAUUGUCUUCCAUAUUCCUACAGAUAUCUUGUAACUGGAGAUUACUUCGAAACGAUUGCCUACAGUUAACGUGUAGGGCACUGCAGGGUUGGGUGACCAUGGCCAUCUGGGACUUUCUCCUGGAGGAAUUCAGGUGUGUGAAGGCUACCAGUGUCCUGCAUAACUUCAUGUGAAUGGACACGAGGACCAGGGGGGAUCUGCAGCUCGCCGCAGUGUGCCAGAGGAGAAGUCUGCUGCUCUGCAGGAUGUUUCAAGGAUGGGGUCCAACAAAGCAACAAGAGACGCAAUCCAUGUGUGGGAGAUUUUCACCUCCUACAAUUAGACACCCUAUUACCUACACACUCAUGUCUCAAUCUGAUUGAUGGAUUGUGUUGUGCAGUAAGCAGGCUCAGGUGUAUUACUGUCUCCUUCCACCUUCAAAGAAUAGGCAAGAGGGCCAACCAUGGAGAAUAGUAAGACACUAUAUUAUUUGUUUAACUACGCUAUAUUGUUUUGUCAUCGUGUGUACGUUCAUGUUUUUCAGCAUAAAGUACUCAGCAGCCGCAGAUUCCUGUUUUCCCUUUAACUACCUUAUUUUCUCAAUAACAGUCUCUCUCCUUCACUUCAUCCCUCUUCUUCCUAAAUCCUCUAGGUUAUAUCAGCUGUGUCGGUUUUGCAUUUCAUCUGAUUAAUAUGAUGAGUAACAAUGUUAGAAUAAAAAAUAAAAACAAGGCUUAAACAUGC